CAGUCGUUGCGCAGGCACUUUGGUGACUCUAGAUAAUCCAGUGUCGGUGACGACGCAUUCGGAUGUCUGCCCUUUCAACUUUCGAUUGCACUUUCUGCGCCUACCAGGUGACCACGGGUAACGGGGAAUCAAGGUUCGAUUCCGGAGAGGGAGUCUGAGAAACGGCUACCACAUCCAGGGAAGGCAGCAGGCGCACAAAUUACCCACUCCCAACGUGGGAAGGUAGUGA